rnacentral:siRNA from 1 species
GGAUGGUCCAGUUAAAUGAACCUA